rnacentral:rRNA from 1 species
AUUGAACGCUGGCGGCAGGCCUAACACAUGCAAGUCGAGCGGCAGCGGGAAAGUAGCUUGCUACUUUUGCCGGCGAGCGGCGGACGGGUGAGUAAUGCCUGGGAAAUUGCCCAGUCGAGGGGGAUAACAGUUGGAAACGACUGCUAAUACCGCAUACGCCCUACGGGGGAAAGCAGGGGACCUUCGGGCCUUGCGCGAUUGGAUAUGCCCAGGUGGGAUUAGCUAGUUGGUGAGGUAAUGGCUCACCAAGGCGACGAUCCCUAGCUGGUCUGAGAGGAUGAUCAGCCACACUGGAACUGAGACACGGUCCAGCAUCCUACGGGAGGCAGCAGUGGGGAAUAUUGCACAAUGGGGGAAACCCUGAUGCAGCCAUGCCGCGUGUGUGAAGAAGGCCUUCGGGUUGUAAAGCACUUUCAGCGAGGAGGAAAGGUUGAUGCCUAAUACGUAUCAACUGUGACGUUACUCGCAGAAGAAGCACCGGCUAACUCCGUGCCAGCCGCCGCAGUAA